CAUGUUGUUGAUUCGUCGUCGUCUUCUUCUCGUGAUCCUGUUAAUCUGAAUCGUCGUUCUAGUACUCUGACAUCUUCUAAAUCUUCUCAACAUCUUUCUUCUUCUCCUUCUUCUUCUUCUGCCUCUGUUGUUCAUCCUUCUUAUAUUCAUUCUCAACCGACGAAUGUUUUAGAAUCUUUUGCUGAACUUCAAGCUUCUAAAGAUCAACUUGCUCAAUCUCGUGUCAAAACUGCUUCUCUUUUUACUUCCGAUACUCCUCCUUCUCCUCUUCCUCCUUCUUCUUCUUCUUCUUCUUCUUUUUCUGAUAAUGCUGAUAUUUUUGUUAAUGUUAAUUCAUUUAGCAAUUCUUCUUCUUCUUUGUUUUUUUCUUCUUCUUCUUCUUUUAUUUUUU
rnacentral:rRNA from 1 species